UACGAAGGGGGCUAGCGUUGCUCGGAAUUACUGGGCGUAAAGGCGCACGUAGGCGGCUUUCUAAGUCGGGGGUGAAAUCCUGGAGCUCAACUCCAGAACUGCCUUCGAUACUGGAAAGCUCGAGUCCGGGAGAGGUGAGUGGAACUGCGAGUGUAGAGGUGAAAUUCGUAGAUAUUCGCAAGAACACCAGUGGCGAAGGCGGCUCACUGGCCCGGUACUGACGCUGAGGUGCGAAAGCGUGGGGAGCAAACAGG
rnacentral:rRNA from 1 species